GGAUUAGAUACCCGGGUAGUCCACGCCGUAAACUAUGAGAGCUAGCCGUUGGGGAGUUUACUCCUCAGUGGCGCAGCUAACGCAUUAAGCUCUCCGCCUGGGGAGUACGGUCGCAAGAUUAAAACUCAAAGGAAUUGACGGGGGCCCGCACAAGCGGUGGGGCAUGUGGUUUAAUUCGAAGCAACGCGAAGAACCUUACCAGCCCUUGACAUGGCAAGACGACUUCCAGAGAUGGAUUUCUUCCCUUCGGGGACUUGCACACAGGUGCUGCAUGGCUGUCGUCAGCUCG
rnacentral:rRNA from 1 species